rnacentral:rRNA from 1 species
CGCGGAAUCGCCCUUGUGCCAGCAGCGCGGUAAUACGAAGGUGCAGCGUGUCGAUUUAUUGGGUUUAAAGGGUGCGUAGUUGCGUGUAGUCCGGGGUGAAGCCCACAGCUCACUGUGACUGCCUGGAUACUGCCAGCUUGAGAGUCGUCGAGGUGGCGGAAUGGACGUGUAGCGUGAAAUGCAUAGAUACCGUCCAGAACCCCAAUUGCGUAGGCAGCUGCCUAGGCGACAUCUGACACUGAGGCACGAAAGCGUGGGGAGCGAACAGGAUUAGAUACCCUGGUAGUCCACGCCGUAAACGAUGGAUACUCGUUGCCAGCGAUAGACUGUUGGUGACUUAGCGAAAGCGGUAAGUAUCCCACCUGGGGAGUACGCUCGCAAGGGUGAAACUCAAAGGAAUUGACGGGGGCCCGCACAAGUGGUGGAGCAUGUGGUUUAAUUCGAUGAUACGCGAGGAACCUUACCUAGGCUAGAAUGCGCGUGACCGCUUGAGAGAUCAAGCUUUCCUUCGGGACACAAAGCAAGGUGCUGCAUGGCCGUCGUCAGCUCGUGCCGUGAGGUGUUGGGUUAAGUCCCGCAACGAGCGCAACCCCUACUUUUAGUUGCCAGCGGGUCAAGCCGGGGACUCUAGAAGGACUGCCUGCGCAAGCAGUGAGGAAGGCGGGGACGACGUCAGGUCAUCAUGGCCCUUACGCCUAGGGCUACACACGUGCUACAAUGGCCGGUACAGAGGGUCGCUACACGGCAACGUGACGCCAAUCUCACAAAACCGGUCUCAGUUCGGAUCGGAGUCUGCAACUCGAUCCGUGAAGCUGGAAUCACUAGUAAUCGCGUAUCAGCAAUGACGCGGUGAAUACGUUCCCGGGCCUUGUACUCACCGCCCGUC